GACGUACUCCCUUUGUUCCAAAUUACUUGACUUCCAUUUGUCUAAACACGGAUGUAUCUAGACAUUCGUGUCUAGACAAAUGGAGGUCAAGUAAUUUGGAACGGAGGGAGUACAUA
rfam:Triticum aestivum genome assembly, contig: Triticum_aestivum_CS42_TGACv1_scaffold_374457_5AL